GUCACGUAGACAUAUGACUGAGGGCAACGAAUUAAAUUUACUACUUCAUGCUGACCUGAACAUACCACUGAGAAGCAGGUCCUAACUGCUGGGGAGAUGUAACUCUCUUACUUCUGAAGGAUGUAGAAAAAUCAUUCGACAACUUUGCAAGUUCAUCUAAGAUAUAAAGAAUGCUGGCUUUCCCAGGUUUAGCCAUUUUGUUUCUCCUGAGGUCUUCCAGUGCUGAACUAUGUCCAGAAUCCUGCCAGUGUAAAUCUGUUUCUCAUGGUAUGAUAAUUAACUGCAGCUCCAGAGGCCUACAGGAAUUACCAUUUAUUCCAGAAACUGCAACAGAGCUUUAUCUGCACAAUAACUUACUAACUACAGUUUUUCCAGGUGCUUUUGACAAAUUGCAGAACCUACAGGCUAUUAGCCUCCACAACAACACCUGGAACUGUGAUUGCCAUAUUGCAUACCUUAAACAGUGGCUACAGAACCCAGCAACAAUGGUUCAUUCUAACAUCACCUGCUUCACUCCGACUUCUAUUAGAAUGAAGCCCGUGGCAGAACUAAGUGGAAGUGAAUUUUCAAGUUGCCAUCCCCAUAACCAAUACCGAUGUCAGAACUUAUACUUUGGAAGCAUUGCUGUAUUUGUUAUCUUUCUGCUUCUCCUUGUCUUGAUGAUGUUUUCACUCAUCUGUGUCAAAUCAAAAAUUUACAUAUUUACUCCAAAUACUGAUUUAAAAAAAUUUGAUUGCAUUCCUUUAAUAAAGCAAAGGAGAGCCACAAGCUGCAUACAAGACAAGAGGAGAUCGGAGCUGUCAGGGCUUGAGUCAAGUAUUGGGUGGUCAUGUGAUGACUUGAUAGAGAAACCCUUUCUCCCUGACAGUAUGGAAAUUUUGCCACAGAUAUUAAGUACACUGCAUACAAAUCAUAACAUUAAAAUUAAAUUACACU